UCGAGAAUUUUUCUCAAUGGGGGCAACCCUGAAGGAGCGACGCCGCGUGAAGGAUGAAGGUCUUCGGAUUGUAAACUUCUGUCAUUGGUGAACAAGGCCCACGGAGUAACUGCCGUUGGGAUUGAUAGUAGCCGAAGAGGAAGAGACGGCUAACUCUGUGCCAGCAGCCGCGGUAAUACAGAGGUCUCGAGCGUUGUUCGGAUUCAUUGGGCGUAAAGGGUGCGUAGGUGGCGGAGUAAGUCUGGUGUGAAAUCCCGGGGCUCAACCCCGGAACUGCACUGGAUACUGCUUUGCUAGAGUACUGGAGAGGAGAUUGGAAUUUACGGUGUAGCAGUGAAAUGCGUAGAUAUCGUAAGGAAGACCAGUGGCGAAGGCGAAUCUCUGGACAGUUACUGACACUGAGGCACGAAGGCCAGGGGAGCAAACGGG
rnacentral:rRNA from 1 species